rnacentral:rRNA from 1 species
UACGGGGGGAGCAAGCGUUGUUCGGAUUUACUGGGCGUAAAGGGCGCGUAGGCGGCCAGCGCAAGUCAGUUGUGAAAUCUCCGGGCUUAACUCGGAAAGGUCAACUGAUACUGCGCGGCUAGAGUGCAGAAGGGGCAACUGGAAUUCUCGGUGUAGCGGUGAAAUGCGUAGAGAUCGGGAGGAACACCAGAGGCGAAGGCGGCGACCUGGACAGGUACUGACACUCAACUACGAAAGCGUGGGGAGCAAACAGG